CCUACGGGAGGCAGCAGUAAGGAAUAUUGGUCAAUGGAGGCAACUCUGAACCAGCCAUGCCGCGUGCAGGAUGACGGCCCUAUGGGUUGUAAACUGCUUUUAUACAAGAGAAAACCCUGGUACGUGUACCAGGUCGAUAGUAUUGUAAGAAUAAGCAUCGGCUAACUUCGUGCCAGCAGCCGCGGUAAGACGAAGGAUGCAAGCGUUAUCCGGAUUCAUUGGGUUUAAAGGGUGCGUAGGCGGACUGAUAAGUCAGUGGUGAAAUCUCUUUGCUUAACAAAGAAACUGCCAUUGAUACUGUCGGUCUAGAGUAUAGAUGACGUUGGCGGAAUAUGACAUGUAGUGGUGAAAUACUUAGAUAUGUCAUAGAACACCGAUUAGCGAAGGCAGCUAACGAAACUAUAACUGACGCUGAGGCACGAAAGUGCGGGGAUCAAACAGGAUUAGAUACCCUGGUAGUCCGCACCGUAAACGAUGAUUACUCGUUGUUGGCGAUAUGACAGUCAGCGACCAAGCGAAAGCGAUAAGUAAUCCACCUGGGGAGUACGCCGGCGAACGGUGAAACGUUAAAGUGAAUUGACGG
rnacentral:rRNA from 1 species